rnacentral:rRNA from 1 species
GACGAACGCUGGCGGCGUGCUUAACACGUGCAAGUCGAACGCUGAAGCGCCCAGCUUGCUGGGUGUGGAUGAGUGGCGAACGGGUGAGUAACACGUGAGUAACCUGCCCCUGACUUCGGGAUAAGCCUGGGAAACUGGGUCUAAUACCGGAUAUGACUCCUGGCCGCAUGGUCUGGUGGUGGAAAGGGUGUUACUGGUUGGGGAUGGACUCGCGGCCUAUCAGUUUGUUGGUGGGGUAGUGGCCUACCAAGACGACGACGGGUAGCCGGCCUGAGAGGGCGACCGGCCACACUGGGACUGAGACACGGCCCAGACUCCUACGGGAGGCAGCAGUGGGGAAUAUUGCACAAUGGGGGGAACCCUGAUGCAGCGACGCCGCGUGCGGGAUGACGGCCUUCGGGUUGUAAACCGCUUUCAGUAGGGAAGAAGCGAAAGUGACGGUACCUGCAGAAGAAGUACCGGCUAACUACGUGCCAGCCGCCCGCAGUAAUAC